rnacentral:rRNA from 1 species
ACACGAUUGCGAAGGCAGCUUACUAAGCUAUAAUUUGACGCUGAUGCACGAAAGCUUGGGUAGCGAACAGGAUUAGAUACCCUGUAGUCCACGCCGUAAACGAUGAUUACUCGUUGUUGGCAUACAUAGUCAGCGACUGAGCGAAAGCAUUAAGUAAUCCACCUGGGGAGUACGUUGGCAACAAUGAAACUCAAAGGAAUUGACGGGGGCCCGCACAAGCGGAGGAACAUGUGGUUUAAUUCGAUGAUACGCGAGGAACCUUACCUGGACUUAAAUGUAGAUUGACAGGACUAGAGAUAGUUUUUUCUUCGGACAAUUUACAAGGUGCUGCAUGGUUGUCGUCAGCUCGUGCCGUGAGGUGUCGGGUUAAGUCCCAUAACGAGCGCAACCCCUAUCUUUAGUUACCAGCACGUAAUGGUGGGGACUCUAAAGAGACUGCCUGGGUAACCAGAGAGGAAGGUGGGGAUGACGUCAAAUCAGCACGGCCCUUACGUCCAGGGCUACACACGUGUUACAAUGGUCGGUACAAAGGGCAGCUACCUAGCGAUAGGAUGCUAAUCUCUAAAACCGGUCUCAGUUCGGAUCGGAGUCUGCAACUCGACUCCGUGAAGCUGGAUUCGCUAGUAAUCGCAUAUCAGCCAUGAUGCGGUGAAUACGUUCCCGGGCCUUGUACACACCGCCCGUCAAACCAUGGAAGUUGGGGGUACCGGAAGUCUGUUACC